rnacentral:rRNA from 1 species
UGGGGAAUUUUGGACAAUGGGCGAAAGCCUGAUCCAGCCAUGCCGCGUGCAGGAUGAAGGCCUUCGGGUUGUAAACUGCUUUUGUACGGAACGAGAAGACUCCUUCUAAUAAAGGGGGUCCAUGACGGUACCGUAAGAAUAAGCACCGGCUAACUACGUGCCAGCAGCCGCGGUAAUACGUAGGGUGCGAGCGUUAAUCGGAAUUACUGGGCGUAAAGCGUGCGCAGGCGGUUAUAUAAGACAGUUGUGAAAUCCCCGGGCUCAACCUGGGAACUGCAUCUGUGACUGUAUAGCUAGAGUACGGUAGAGGGGGAUGGAAUUCCGCGUGUAGCAGUGAAAUGCGUAGAUAUGCGGAGGAACACCGAUGGCGAAGGCAAUCCCCUGGACCUGUACUGACGCUCAUGCACGAAAGCGUGGGGAGCAAACA